rnacentral:rRNA from 1 species
GACGAACGCUGGCGGCGUGCUUAACACAUGCCAGUCGAACGGUAAGGCCCUUUCGGGGGUACACGAGUGGCGAACGGGUGAGUAACACGUGGGUGAUCUGCCCUGCACUUUGGGAUAAGCCUGUGAAACUGGGUCUAAUACCGGUUAGGACUACGCUAUGCAUGUCGUGUGGUGGAAAGCUUUUGCGGUGGGGGAUGGGCCCGCGGCCUAUCAGCUUGUUGGUGGGGUGAUGGCCUACCAAGGCGACGACGGGUAGCCGGCCUGAGAGGGUGUCCGGCCAGACUGGGCCGGGGUUAGGGCCCGGACUCAAACGGGAGGAAGGAGGGGGGAAUAUUGAACAAUGGGCGGAGGCCUGAGGCAGGGACGCCGGGUGGGGGAUGACGGCUUCGGGUUGUAAACCCCUUUCAGCACAGACGAAGCGUAAGUGACGGUAUGUGCAGAAGAAGCACCGGCCAACUACGUG